CCUACGAGUGGCAGCAGUAGGGAAUCUUCGGCAAUGGACGGAAGUCUGACCGAGCAACGCCGCGUGAGUGAAGAAGGUUUUCGGAUCGUAAAGCUCUGUUGUAAGAGAAGAACGAGUGUGAGAGUGGAAAGUUCACACUGUGACGGUAUCUUACCAGAAAGGGACGGCUAACUACGUGCCAGCAGCCGCGGUAAUACGUAGGUCCCGAGCGUUGUCCGGAUUUAUUGGGCGUAAAGCGAGCGCAGGCGGUUAGAUAAGUCUGAAGUUAAAGGCUGUGGCUUAACCAUAGUACGCUUUGGAAACUGUUUAACUUGAGUGCAGAAGGGGAGAGUGGAAUUCCAUGUGUAGCGGUGAAAUGCGUAGAUAUAUGGAGGAACACCGGUGGCGAAAGCGGCUCUCUGGUCUGUAACUGACGCUGAGGCUCGAAAGCGUGGGGAGCAAACAGGAUUAGAUACCCGAGUAGUC
rnacentral:rRNA from 1 species